rnacentral:rRNA from 1 species
CUUGCAAUGAGAACAAUUUAAAACCCUUAGCGAGAAUCAAGUGGAGGACAAGUCUGGUGCCAGCACCCGCGGUAAUUCCAGCUCCACUAGCGUAUAUUAAAGUUGUUGCAGUUAAAAAGCUCGUAGUUGAACCUCUGUCUGGGGCUAGUUUUGGCUUUGGUCAGGCUAGUUCUAGGCAUCCGCCUACAAGACUUAGAGGGCAUUCAGUUGUUCACUAGGAGGAGUAGGCAUUUUACUUUGAAAAAAUUAGAGUGUUUAAGGCAGGCAAUCGCCCGCAUAUAUUAGCAUGGAAUAAUAGAAUAGGACACUUUUCCAUUUCGUUGGUUAUUGGAAUCGUGUAAUGAUUAAUAGGGACAGUUGUGGGCAUUUGUAUUUAAUUGUCAGAGGUGAAAUUCUUGGAUUUAUUAAAGACAAACUAACGCGAAAGCAUUUGCCAAGGAUGUUUUCAUAAAUCAAGAACGAAAGUUAGGGGAUCAAAGACGAUCAGAUACCGUCCUAGUCUUAACUAUAAACUAUUCCGACUCAAUGUUUGACUGGCUUAUAUAACCAGUUGAGCGUUGUAUGAGAAAUCAAAGUCUUUAGGUUCUGGGGGGAGUAUGGUUGCAAAGCUGAAACUUAAAGGAAUUGACGGAAGAGCACAACCAGGAGUGGAUUCUGCGGCUUAAUUUGACUCAACACGGGGAAACUUACCAGGUUAAAACAAUAGUGGGAUUGACAGUUUGAGAGCGCUUUCUUGAUUGGUUGGGUGGUGGUGCAUGGCCGUUCUUAGUUGGUGGAGUGAUUUGUCUGCUUAAUUGCGUUAACGAACGAGACCUUAACCUGCUUACUAGACUGGCGAUCAUCAAUCGUUAGCUCUUCUUAGAGGGACUUUGGUUGUUUUAACUCCAAGGAAGUUUGAGGCAAUAACAGGUCUGUGAUGCCCUUAGAUAUCCUGGGCCGCACGCGUCAUACAAUGACUAGUUCAGAAAGUUUUCUCCUGACCCGAAAGGGGAUGGGUAAUCUUGAUAAUACUAGUCGUGUUAGGGAUCGAUCUUUGCAAUUAUAGAUCUUGAACGAGGAAUUCCUAGUAAGUGCGGUUCAUCAGACCGUACUGAUUACGUCCCUGCUCUUUGUACACACCGCCCGUCGCUUCUACCGAGUGGGUGGUCCGGUGAGAUAAUUGAACUUCGCAGGUAACUGAGAGGAAAGAUUAUCAAACCUAUCCACCU